UGGGAAGUCUGAUCACCAGGUUUCCAUUUUUGAGAGACCAUAGCUCCUCUGGCUAUGAAACUCUAUUGGAGUGUUUGCGAAAUAAGUUCAAGAAGGAAAGGUCACCUUUAGUGAACUUGGCAACAGUCCAGGAGAUGAAAAAAAACGUUUGGUGCCAAAAGACGGAGAGUUAUGGAUCAUGUGCCUCUGGAGGACCCACUUGGACAUCAGAGGGCAAAGAGGCGCAGAAGUGAAGGUACAAUCCAGACAUCUUGGAG